AUCAGUUAUAUUUGUUUAAUGAUUUUGAAAAGCAGGGAAGUGACGAAUUUUUGCUAAAUUUGUGAGUGUUGUUUUAUGGGAUUGAAGAUUUUUUAAAAUUAUUCUUCAAGAUUUAUUAUUUUCUUUUUGUAGUGCAUUAAUAAAUAAUUUUUUGUAAUAAUGAUUUGAUGGAAUUAUAAAAUAGCUUAGAAUGAACGAAAGGAAAAGAAAUAACAUAUAAUCAAGAAUGAUAUGCUUAACUAUUUUUUUAGACAUUUAGAAAUUUACAACGAGAGAUUGAAUAACAUUAUCAAAUGUUUUUACUUUUCUGUAUCGACAUAUUAUCUAUUAUAGAAGUGAAUGGGUAAAAAUUAGAAAAAGUAGGGAAAGAAGAAAGCAUUAAAUGCAGUUUGUCUAAAUGAAAAUAUUGGAUUGGGAAAUGAGUAUUGUGUAUCUAUACUAUUGUGGAUUAAUGAAGAAAUUUGUACUUAUGAUUUUUGAUAUAAUAUAGGAAUAAUGACAGUUUUGAAAAGUUAUUAUAUUUAAACUAUAUGUUUUUGCAAGGUGAAC
rnacentral:lncRNA from 1 species